UACGUAGGUGGCAAGCGUUGUCCGGAUUUAUUGGGUUUAAAGGGUGCGUAGGUGGUGGGGUAAGUCGGAUGUGAAAUCUCCGGGCUCAACCCGGAAAUGGCAUUGGAAACUACCUUGCUGGAGGAUUUGAGGGGGGAUUGGAAUACUUGGUGUAGCAGUGAAAUGCGUAGAUAUCAAGUGGAACACCAGUGGCGAAGGCGAAUCCCUGGAAAAUACCUGACACUGAGGCACGAAAGCUAGGGGAGCAAACAGG
rnacentral:rRNA from 1 species